rnacentral:rRNA from 1 species
AUGGCCCCCAAGGCGGAGAAGAAGCCGGCGGCGAAGAAGCCCGCGGAGGAGGAGCCCGCGGCGGAGAAGGCGGCCGAGAAGGCCCCGGCGGCGAAGAAGCCCAAGGCGGAGAAGCGGCUGCCGGCGGGCAAGACGGCGUCCAAGGAGGCCGGCGGCGAGGCGAAGACGAGGGGCCGGAAGAAGGGCAGCAAGGCGAAGAAGAGCGUGGAGACGUACAAGAUCUACAUCUUCAAGGUGCUGAAGCAGGUGCACCCCGACAUCGGCAUCUCCUCCAAGGCCAUGUCCAUCAUGAACUCCUUCAUCAACGACAUCUUCGAGAAGCUCGCCGCCGAGGCCGCCAAGCUCGCCCGCUACAACAAGAAGCCCACCAUCACCUCCCGGGAGAUCCAGACCUCCGUCCGCCUCGUCCUCCCCGGGGAGCUCGCCAAGCACGCCGUCUCCGAGGGCACCAAGGCCGUCACCAAGUUCACCUCCUCCUAG